ensembl:lncRNA
AUUUUAUCAUGCCCUGAAGCAGCAUGUUUUCCUCUGUGAGCUGGCUGAAGGAGCAUCUUUCUUCCUAGCUGGUUGUUUGUACUUUGUGGGAUCACAUGAAGCUACAUUUCCGGACUGCAGACAGACAGCAGUAUAGCAGUUGUACCAUGAGCCUGCACCACUGCUUCUCACCCGUCAUGUCACAGCUGAGUUCAGCCAAGAUAUAGACCAAGAGCAGAAGCCUUUUGAUUUCCAGAGCAAGGGAGCUUGUGGCAUGCUUGGAUCCUCUUGGUUAGCAUUCCCUUUCCUCACAGUGCCUUCAGGCGUCAACCUUCUCGGCGAGAUUCAAGUCAGUUCUUCCAGACACUUGUAUGUGAGCCUUUUGAAAAUAAGGUGCCUACUCACAGCACGGAGGACUACAGAGCCGGCCUAGUGAUGGAGUCAGAGCACUGGACCUCCAUUAACAUAACCACAAGGCUGCUUUACACAGAGCAGCUUAUGCUCACCACCUUUGCAUCCCAUGGUCAUCUGGUGGAAUGAAACCCUAU